CAUUCAUCUAAACCAGAGAUAAAAAAAAGAGGCAGGGGAUUAUUCAGAGUUGGAAGGGGAAAAAAGAAAUGAAGUUCAUCCUAGCCUCUUCUGAUUAAAUGAGGCACAAAAUGUACAGCAUCAAAAUAUGUAAAAUCUUGAACCAUCUAUAGAAAGGAAAAUUUACAGACAAGAAAGCUAAUGUCUGACUUGUCUCAUGCACCUUCUAAACUAUGCUAACAAUCGGCCAAUAAAAGUUUGGCAACUCAAUCUCUAUGGGUGAGAGGUUCCACACAUGCACAAAAGGUUGCUCUCUUCUUCUGGUUGUUGGUUCUAGUCCCACCAUAGAGAUAAUCUCGUAAAAGAACUCUUGGACUUCGAUGAUCAGCAACUUUUGUUUUUUCUUUGCUUUCUUUUCUACCAUCCAGUUUCAGAAGCAGAAACUGCAGUCUUUGCACCUCCAACUGCAGCCUUCCUAUUUUUUCUGACCCUCUUCGCGCAUGCUCCAUUACUCUCCUUUUGCUGACACUUCCAAUCUCCCCGGACUCGAACACUGCCUUCUCGUCGAAAGACAUGAUACUAUCUUCCACAUUCUUCUUUAACUUUUGGUUGCCAUCAAACAACUUUGUGAUGGUUUCCUGAGCAGCUUCAAUCUGAUCUUUCACAGAAUUGUACUCAACACCUUUUCCCUUUUUGCUAGUUCCCAUAAUUUCCACCUUCUUCACCAAAUCCAGUAUGGUUAUUUGAAUGUUUGUUAGCUUUUGUGCAUCAGAAUCAAGUCUUUCUAAAACUUUGCUCUUGUUUCCCACUUCAUGUGGUUGUCCAAACAAAAGAGAACAACAAGAGUAACCACAUAAUCAUUGUUCUUAACGAAAUAAGAAUAUUCUUAUUCUGUUCUCGAUUGUGUUAUUCUUAUUUUCUGAUUUUUGUUAUUAAAUAAGAACAAUUCUUGGUUGUUCUCAGCCAAGGGAAAGUAAAGAGAAAAAAAGGUAAAUAUUAUGAUGCUCAAAUAAAAAUAAAUAAGAAUGAUGUUUAUCGUUGUGAAAAAAAAUUAUUAAGUUAUAUAGAAUAAUGUGACACUAAAAAAGAAUGAAGAUUAUGGUGGAGAUGCUCUAAUUUUCAUCCUAUUCUUUCCAUUUAACCCUCCCUCUGUCAUUUCAUCCCACUAUUCCCAGAUUUCUACACAUUAGCAUUAGCAUGUCACAUAUUAUUUUCCUAAUUGAAAAGGAUGAAAAGUGAGAGAUAGGAAUUGAGAAGAAAAAAAGAAAAAAUAAUUAAAAUAUAAUGGACUACUGGCCUCAAUUCAUAUAAUAGAGUGGCCACAAUAUUUGAAUACAAUUUCUUAAGAAUUGAUGAUAUUGUGCAGGAAGGAAUAGCAGUUGGAAGAAGCUUUGCAAUGUUCAAAAAUUACCAUAUUGAUGGAAACAAAGAGAUGAUAGCUAUUGGCACCAUGAAUAUUGUUGGUUCUUUCACCUCAUGCUACCUCACCACAGGUAAAGUUUUUAUUAAUUAUUGAUACUAAGUGCCCAAUUAAUUUUCAGCAUCAAUUAUGCUAUCAAAUGUUGCAUUAAUAACAUCAAUAUUAUUUCAGGGCCUUUUUCACGUUCUGCUGUGAACUACAAUGCUGGAUGCAAGACUGCAGCAUCAAAUAUUGUAAUGUCAAUUGCAGUGAUGGUGACAUUGUUAUGCUUAACACCUUUGUUCCAUUACACUCCUCUAGUGGUUCUAUCAGCCAUAAUUGUAUCUGCAAUGCUUGGCCUCAUAGAUUAUGAAGCUGCCAUCCAUCUUUGGAAGAUUGACAAAUUUGACUUUGUGAUUUGCAUCAGUGCAUAUAUUGGUGUGGUCUUUGGCAGUGUUGAAAUUGGCUUAAUCGUUGCAGUAUGUAUAAAUCUGAAUUUAAUAUGUCAGUUUUUGCUUUUAUUAUAAAGGUUUAUGAAACUAAUAUGUACUUUUCUUUGCAUAUUCAGGUUGCAUUAUCUUUACUUAGGAUACUUUUAUUUAUUGCAAGGCCAAGGACAUUUGUUUUGGGAAACAUUCCAAAUUCUGUGAUAUACAGAAAUGUUGAGCAAUAUCCAAAUGCAAAUCAUGUUCCUGGAAUUCUAAUUCUAAAGAUUGAUGCACCAAUUUACUUUGCCAAUGCAAGCUAUUUAAGAGAAAGGUAAUUAAGCUACCUGAAUUUUUGAGUUUUACUCUUGCAUGCAAACAAUCCUAACAGUGAAGUGGAAAUAGGAUUACAAGGUGGAUUGAUGAAGAGGAAGACAGAAUUAAAGCUACAGGGGAAACAAGUUUGCAAUAUGUUAUAAUGGAUAUGACUGGUAAGUGAUGGAUCUGUAAAACAAAGUAACUUGCAAACUGGUUAUUAGAAUUUACAUUCUAACUUUCAAUGUAAUUUUAUUGGCAGCUGUUGGGAACAUUGAUACAAGUGGAAUCAGCAUGCUUGAAGAGGUCAAAAAGAUUGCAGACAGAAGAGAGCUACAAGUAGUUUUUCUAUCAAUGUUAUCUGUUAAAAUGAACUUCCAUACGCAUGAUUUAUGAAUUAUGAUAAAAUGCAAUGGUAUGGUUUGAUCCAUGUAGCCGAUAGCCGAUAGCCGACCUUAACUAGUGAAAAAAGGCUUUGAUUGUUAUAAAAGCUAAUUAUGUACUUAGAUUUUCUUAUAGCCAGUUCAAUUUAACAAUGCUUGAUUUGUUCUGUUCAUUUCUAAAACUUUCCUUCCUACUUGUGCAGCUUGUUUUGGUCAAUCCUGGAAGUGAGGUGAUGAAGAAACUGAACAAAUCCAAAUUCCAAAUGGAUUUAGGGCAGAAGUGGUUCUAUCUGACAGUUGCAGAGGCUGUUGGAGCAUGCAACUAUAUGCUGCACGCAUGCAAACCAAAUUCUGUGAAAGAUGAACAAGAGGGUUGGAACAAUGUCUAAGUCAUAUUUCAAGGCAUGUUUUCAAGAUCUCUUGCAAAGCUUGGUCGUUUUAGUCUCAGCAAAAUUACCAUCACAAUAUGUAUAUGUUUCAUGAGAGUUUGUGAAUCAUGUUGUACAAGAUUUCGGGUCAUAGGAAAAUGAAAGAUGCAUGUAUGUUUUAAUGUCUGAAACAUGCAUCCUGAGUUGGAACUAAAUCUUCUACAUAGUCUGUUGAAUAUUAUGUAUUGCGCUUGAUAAAUUAAUCAAAUGGAAAGUAAAUGCUACGAGAAUUCAAAUUGUUCCUUAUGAAAUUUCCGAGAACUAGACCAAAUUAAAGUGGCAUGCUAAUUAUAAGUUCUUAGCCUUAUUCAAUAACAUGCAUAUCCUUCGGCAAAAUUACUCAAUAAAGCUCAUCUAAAAUAAACUUUCCUAUUGCAUCACCUUGCUAUGGGAGGAGACAAUGUAAUGCACUAAAGAGGAAUAAUAAUACCAAAUAAAGACUAUGUUCCUUUAAAGCACAAAAAAAUGAUUCAUAACUGAUAAUUUUACAGUUUUACACUAGAUUAAAGUAGGAGACUAUUUUAUAUUUUUAAAAAAACUCAUCUUUAAUCCUAAUAAUUAAUUUAGGGGGAAAUACAGCGCAAUCUUGAGUUGAUGCUUUUAAUAUUGAAUCAAACUUUUUAAUAUUUUUAGAAUGAACUUUACAUUUUAUCUCCUUUAAAUAUAGGACAACUGUGUACUCAUUUUAGGUCUCUUAAAUAAUUGGGUAGUUAGUGACUUAGUAUUCAGUAAAAAAGGUGAUAAACCACUCAUUAAAAGUCAUUAAACAUGUAAAUGUAUUUAUUUUCUUAUACAGUAUAAUUGAACUACAAAACAGUCUGAGUCCACAGCAAGAGGUCUACUAUAUAUUUAUAUUAGCUACCACAGGACUAGCUUUGUUCACUCCAUAUGUAGCAUAUCCCGUAAUAGGAAAGGCUCCACUGCAUCCCCAAAGUUGGAGGUUCGAUUCUUGAGAGUGACACUUGUUAGGAGGGGCAGUCAUGAAUUCUGAGAGAGAUUAGUUCCUUACCCAAAAAUGUAAGGGAUACCCUUGGUAGUAUCAAAAAAAAUAUUCCAUAAUAGGAAAUAGUGAAUGAUCCUCUUCUUAUGCUCAAUGGAUGUGAACUUCUCUAGAAAUCAAAUAUGGCAAAAAAGAUUACCAAGAACUUCAAGAAAUGCAUUUCUUGCAUUUUAGGCUGAAGAAAGGAUUCUUAAGACAAGCAAAAACACAAACAAAAGAUAAAGAUAAGUGCAUGUUACCAAAAUGCUAAAGAAAGCAAUAAACAAAACAUGAAUCAUUCAUCUAAACCAGAGAUAAAAAAAAGAGGCAGGGGAUUAUUCAGAGUUGGAAGGGGAAAAAAGAAAUGAAGUUCAUCCUAGCCUCUUCUGAUUAAAUGAGGCACAAAAUGUACAGCAUCAAAAUAUGUAAAAUCUUGAACCAUCUAUAGAAAGGAAAAUUUACAGACAAGAAAGCUAAUGUCUGACUUGUCUCAUGCACCUUCUAAACUAUGCUAACAAUCGGCCAAUAAAAGUUUGGCAACUCAAUCUCUAUGGGUGAGAGGUUCCACACAUGCACAAAAGGUUGCUCUCUUCUUCUGGUUGUUGGUUCUAGUCCCACCAUAGAGAUAAUCUCGUAAAAGAACUCUUGGACUUCGAUGAUCAGCAACUUUUGUUUUUUCUUUGCUUUCUUUUCUACCAUCCAGUUUCAGAAGCAGAAACUGCA
rnacentral:lncRNA from 1 species